rnacentral:rRNA from 1 species
UUACCCUACGGGGGGCAGCAGUGAGGAAUAUUGGUCAAUGGGAGGAAUCCUGAACCAGCCAUGCCGCGUGCAGGACGACGGCUCUACGAGUUGUAAACUGCUUUUGUACCGGGGUAAAAUGCCUUACGAGUAGGGUUUUGAAAGUACGGUACGAAUAAGGAUCGGCUAACUCCGUGCCAGCAGCCGCGGUAAUACGGAGGAUCCGAGCGUUAUCCGGAUUCAUUGGGUUUAAAGGGUGCGCAGGCGGGCCUUUAAGCCGGCGGUGAAAUCGCGGGGCUCAACCCCGCCGAGCCGU